rnacentral:rRNA from 1 species
UCAUGUCUCUGGAGCGCGAUGGAACCAACUCUUCCCAUUCCGAACAGAGUCUUGAAACGUCACAGCGCCGACAAUAGUUGGGGGUUCUCCCCCUGCGAAGAUAGGUCGAGGCAUGAA